ensembl:lncRNA CHROMR cholesterol induced regulator of metabolism RNA
AUGGGCACAAAAAGCAGGAACGAGUAGCGGUGGCUGAAGAACGAGCAGGAGCUUGAAUUUCAGUUUUCUUAUGAGGAAUUUUCCAGAAAAGAUAUCUUCACUGUGAAAUAACUAAAUAAAUGCCCACUCAGUACAGUCACUGUCUCCCUUUUGGAACUUGAUGGCACCUUAAGCCCAGGUUUGCCUCCACUCUAGAAACUCAUCAGAGUGAUGCCCUUCUCAAAUGGGGGAGGUCCCAAAGCGGAUAUCCUGGCAGUGUGAAAGGCCGGCUAAAGACAAAAAUACCUGCUACAUGCUUCCUUCUGUAUGAAUACAUGAGACCUACCUUCAUUCAUGUUUCCUCUAUGAAGCUUUCCCUGCACUCCAAACACAGAGCUGAGACUUCCACCUAAUGUAGAAAGCUAGCACGAGCCGGCGCUGACAGAUGGAAGACUUGAGAUGUUACAAGAUUAUAUAUGGAAACACAAAAGGAGUGGAGUUGCUGGGUCAUAUGGCAAUUCAUUUGAGGAACUGAGAAGCUUAUUCCAUGGAGGCUGAACUGUUUUAUAUUCCCACCAGCAACGUUAGAGACGGGGUUUCACCGCGUUAGCCAGAAUGGUUUCUAUCUCCUGACCUCAUGAUCCGCCCACCUCGGCCUCCCAAAGUGCUGGGAUUACAGGCGUGAGCCACUGUGCCUGGCCAAACGCUGGUAGGUUUUGAGUGAGACCACAUUACAUUUAAAUAUAUUUACAAUGUUUUCUGCUCUAUUCUUUAGUAGACUUUUCCUCACGUGGUCCUACGCAUUUCUUUCUAAGUUUAUUUUCAUAUAGCCUAUCCCUGUCUACAAUUUAAAUUGGGAUCUUCUAUAUUCUAGUUAUUAUUUGUAAAUAAGAAAACUACUGACUUUUUUCUAGUAUAUUUUCUCAGAAUAGGAUUUUCUAUUUUUCUAUAAAAUGACCAAUGUUAUGAAGCUUCGUAAGUUUUGUCAAAGUGAUACACACAUACAGCAAAAAAUCAAAUAGUACAGAAGUAUAAAAGCAACAACCUCUGCCUUGCCCCUUCUCCACCUUCAGGUCCCCUUCCCAGAUACAAUAAUUUUUAGCUUUUUAUUUUUAAUUAUUCUGGUUGUUACCUACAUAACUCUGGGCAAUAUGGAAAAGUUAUUGAUUUUGUAUAUUAAUUUCAUAAUCAGUUACCUUGAUGAAUUCUCUUGUUUCUAGUAGUUUUUCUUUAGGGUUUUAAAGGGAUACAAUCAUACCAUUUGCAGUUAGUAACCAUUUUAUCUCCUCUUAUUUCCAACUUCGUACUGUUUUCUCUUGUCUAAUUUGUUUUUAAUUGGUGGGUACUUCUAGAACAAGGUUAAAUAAAAGUGGUGUUGGUGGGCGUCCUUAUUUCUGAUAUUAAUGGGAAUGAGUAUAAUGUAUAAAUAUAUAACCAUGAUUUUGGUUUUUUUCCAAGUUUUUAUCAGUAAUGAUUGCUGAGUUUUAUCAAAAUUUUUUUGGCAUCCAUUGAGAGGAUUAUAUAUUACUCUUUGACACAUUAAUGUGGUUAAUUAAAGUAACCAACUUAUUAACCUUGAAAUAGUCUUAGUUAAAUAAACCCUACUUGUCAAUGCUAUAUCAUUAUUUUAAUAUUGUACUGAACAUUUUACAAAGGUGUUUCACCAUAAGGCAUAUUGAUCUGUAAUUUUUUUUUUUCUGUUGAACUUGCUAUUGUCAGGUUUUGGUGUAUUAUGUUGGUUUUGGAGAAUAAAUUUAAAAGUUUCCUUUAUGUUAUCUAUACAUUGCCUGAAAAGAGUUUAAAUAGCAUUGAAAAUGAUCUCUUCUUUGAAGAUUUAACCAAUUUCACCUGUAAAUCUGUCUGUGCUUUGUAAUUUUGGUGAUACUGUUGACUCAAAUUCCAAAAGCAGUAAAUGCAGUGUUUUAUAUUUUUCUAUUAAAAAUGUAAAAUCAAAUUAUAUUA